rnacentral:rRNA from 1 species
UACGAAGGGUGCAAGCGUUACUCGGAAUUACUGGGCGUAAAGCGUGCGUAGGUGGUUUGUUAAGUCUGUUGUGAAAGCCCCGGGCUCAACCUGGGAAUGGCAAUGGAUACUGGCAGGCUAGAGUGCGGUAGAGGGUAGUGGAAUUCCCGGUGUAGCGGUGAAAUGCGUAGAGAUCGGGAGGAACACCAGUGGCGAAGGCGGCUACCUGGACCAGCACUGACACUGAGGCACGAAAGCCAGGGGAGCGAACGGG